CAUCAAGCGUGUGAGGCUACGUGAGGAAAAAAGAUGUAUUUGUUAUGCUUUCAGCCUGGAUAUUCCAGACCACUUGUUACAGAGGUGGCCUUAAUGUUGAAGUUAAAAGAAGCUCCUGAAUGCCCCUAUGUUAUAAGAAUAAUUGACUGGUAUGAGGAACGCAAUUACCUCAUGUUUGUUACUGUGUACCUAGACGAAUGGAUGCCCUUGCGUAAUUAUAUCUCUACACCUGGAAAACUGCCGGAAGAUAAAGCUCGCAGGCUUAUGCUUCAGUUAGUGAAAGCAGUUGAACAUUGCAUAAAGCACGGGGUGUUUCACAAUGACAUCCAUUUUGGAAACAUCUUGGUGGACAGUGAAGGUGUACAACUGAAGUUAAUUGACUUUGGGAUUGGCCGUCUAAUCAAUGACGCUGCAUACAAAUCCAAAGGACAUAAAGGAGCACCUGAGAAAUAUUCAUACACAGGGUCAUGCCCAAAAUCGUCUUGGACUUACGUUCUGUGCUAUAUAAGAUGAUGCACGGAAAAAAGCCCCUUCUUUGGACCCCAAUUUUGGGCCCCACUUUUACCAAGAUGGUUCUGGAUCUGGCCAGUCCUGCAACAAAAGCCAGCAUCAGUCUGGACCACACCAAACCAAAAGCGAUAAAGCGCCCCUUUGACUGCAUCCGGAGGGGCAAAGUGGAGACAGUGCCGGAUCCACAGCCUCCAGUCAGUUUCCAAGACUUGUGUGAGUCUUGAAGGAACCGACAUGCAUGUCGGGCAAUCUAAAUAUUUGAUGACGGAUGUGGCCAAAAAUCCAGAGGCUAAAGUGUCCAAAAUUCCUGGGCCUGAAAGUGCUGGUCACCA